CUGCUGUCUCUUGAGCUGCACCUGCCCAUCCCCCAGCAGCUGUUGCCCACUUCUCUGAGCCCUUCCUGACUUCUGAAAGUCACUGUCUGGGGAGUGCUGUGGAGCCAUAAGACUUAGAUCAACCUAUUUGCCUUCAUAGCACAGAGAGUUAUGCACCUGAGCCUUGUUGCCAGAGCUUUGAUUCAAGACCCCUGGAACCUUACAAAAGGUUAAGAAGGUAACAAGAGUAACUUCAGCCAAGUGCUUCCCAAGUGAAAUCAGGCAGCAUCAAGCAUGAACUUGGCCCUUGCUCCAGAAUGUGAAUGAAACUUUUGGAUAGUUAAAUAUGAGAACCAGCCAAAUUGAGACAACUGAAAACUGUCAUGGAGCAAUGUAUUCUUCUGCAUUUGUGCCUUUCUGUAUUUAAAGAUUAAAGAUUUUGUGAG